AUUGAACGCUGGCGGCAUGCUUUACACAUGCCAGUCGAACGGCAGCGCGGGCUUCGGCCUGGCGGCGAGUGGCGAACGGGUGAGUAAUACAUCGGAACGUGCCCAGUAGUGGGGGAUAGCUCGGCGAAAGCCGGAUUAAUACCGCAUACGACCUGAGGGUGAAAGCGGGGGAUCUUCGGACCUCGCGCUAUUGGAGCGGCCGAUGGCAGAUUAGCUAGUUGGUGGGGUAAAGGCCUACCAAGGCGACGAUCUGUAGCUGGUCUGAGAGGACGACCAGCCACACUGGGACUGAGACACGGCCCAGACUCCUACGGGAGGCAGCAGUGGGGAAUGUUGGACAAUGGGCGAAAGCCUGAUCCAGCAAUGCCGCGUGUGUGACGAAGGCCUUCGGGUUGUAAAGCACUUUUGGCGGGAACGAAAAGGACUGUGCCAAUACCACGGUUCGAUGACGGUACCCGCAGAAUAAGCACCGGCUAACUACGUG
rnacentral:rRNA from 1 species